rnacentral:misc_RNA from 1 species
GCCCAUUUCUCCCAAAGAAAAAUACCAUUUCUCAUUAUGUACAUCACCCCCCGCAACACAAACAAAUGGAACAGAACUCUUGAAUCUAGUGUUCCUUUUCUACCUUCAAAUAUAUCCCUUCACCCCUUUCCCAGUUUUUAUUCAUUUACACACGUGAAACGAUCAAAAUCACUGUCAAAACAACUUUCUUCUUAUCUCUCCUGUUUAUCCCAAAU